AAUACAGAGGUCCCAAGCGUUGUUCGGAUUCACUGGGCGUAAAGGGUGCGUAGGUGGUCGGGUAAGUCCGAUGUGAAAUCUCCGAGCUUAACUCGGAAACGGCAUCGGAUACUAUUCGGCUCGAGGAUCGGAGGGGAGACUGGAAUUCUCGGUGUAGCAGUGAAAUGCGUAGAUAUCGAGAGGAACACCAGUGGCGAAGGCGAGUCUCUGGACGAUUCCUGACGCUGAGGCACGAAAGCCAGGGGAGCAAACGGG
rnacentral:rRNA from 1 species